UACGAAGGGGGCGAGCGUUAUUCGGAAUCACUGGGCGUAAAGCGUGCGUAGGCGGUUUUGUAAGUUAGGAGUGAAAGCCCAGGGCUCAACCUUGGAAUUGCUCUUAAAACUGCGAGACUCGGAUUCGGGAGAGGAUAGCGGAAUUGUCAGUGUAGCAGUGAAAUGCGUAGAUAUUGACAGGAACACCAGUGGCGCAAGCGGCUAUCUGGACCGACAUCGACGCUGAGGCACGAAAGCGUGGGGAUCAAACAGG
rnacentral:rRNA from 1 species